GAAAGCCUGACGGAGCGACGCCGCGUGAACGAAGAAGGCCGUGAGGUUGUAAAGUUCUUUUCGGGAGGGGGAAUGACCGUGGCAGGGAAUGGCCGCGGGAUGACGUGAAUCCCGGAAUAAGCCCCGGCUAACUACGUGCCAGCAGCCGCGGUAACACGUAGGGGGCGAGCGUUGUUAGGAAUCAUUGGGCGUAAAGGGCGUGCAGGCGGCACUGCAAGUCCGGCGUGAAAGACCCCGGCCCAACCGGGGGGGUGCGCUGGAAACUGCGGUGCUUGAGUACAGGAGGGGAUGCCGGAAUUCCAGGUGUAGGGGUGAAAUCUGUAGAUAUCUGGAAGAACACCGAUGGCGAAGGCAGGCAUCUGGCCAUGUACUGACGCUGAGACGCGAAGGUGCGGGGAGCAAACAGGUUUAGAUACCCUGGUAGUCC
rnacentral:rRNA from 1 species